CAAAGUGACAGGUGGUGCAUGGUUGUCGUCAGCUCGUGUCGUGAGAUGUUGGGUUAAGUCCCGCAACGAGCGCAACCCUUAAGCUUAGUUGCCAGCAUUAAGUUGGGCACUCUAAGUUGACUGCCGGUGACAAACCGGAGGAAGGUGGGGAUGACGUCAAAUCAUCAUGCCCCUUAUGAUUUGGGCUACACACGUGCUACAAUGGACAAUACAAAGGGCAGCUAAACCGCGAGGUCAUGCAAAUCCCAUAAAGUUGUUCUCAGUUCGGAUUGUAGUCUGCAACUCGACUACAUGAAGCUGGAAUCGCUAGUAAUCGUAGAUCAGCAUGCUACGGUGAAUACGUUCCCGGGUCUUGUACACACCGCCCGUCACACCACGAGAGUCUGUAACACCCGAAGCCGGUGGAGUAACCAUUUAUGGAGCUAGCCGUCGAAGGUGGGACAAAUGAUUGGGGUGAAGUCGUAACAAGGUAGCCGUAUCGGAAGGUGCGGCUGGAUCACCUC
rnacentral:rRNA from 1 species